GUCAAUCGCCAGUUUUUCCAUUUCUAAAAAACCCUUGUAUUGUACUCUCUCCCUUCCUUGCACAAACCGAGAUCACCGCUGAUCUCCUCACUCUCUCCGAUGGCUUCUGUAACAGCCUCCGAUUUCAGCGGCGGCGAAGAAGAAACCGAGGACCACACCCCGACCAUACCGGAGCUGGUCUCGUCGCUGCGGGACUCUUUCCAGACGGCCGACUUCGACAGAGCCGAAGAGGCCCUCAUCGCCAGAGAAGCCAACCUGAAGCGGCGGUUUCAGAGAGAAGCCGCCGAGCUCACCGCCUUGAAGAAGCUCAAGGAGGAGGAGGAGGUCCCGGACGAGGGCAAAGAGGUCAUUUGGGAGUUGAAGAAGGAGAAGCGUCGAUUGGAGAGGGAGCAAUUGAGUGCUGAGCGCGAGGUUGAGAGUAUGGAGAGCCGAGUGUUGAGCUUAGAGGAUGAUGUUCUGAGAUUGUGCGGUGAAAAUUCGGGGGGUUUCAGUGUGAGAGAGGAUCAUAGAUACAGUGGCAGUGUUGUAAAUAUGGAGACUGUGUUUGAUGCUUUGAUUGCGUCUCAUGCUAAUGGAACUCUGCAAAUUCCAGCAAGGGAAGCUAAGCUUGACCGAGUGAUACAGAAACAGAUGGAGGAGUUUGCUGCACGUGAGAAGACGCAUAUGUUUGAGGUGCAGAAAUUGCAAAGACUUGAGAAUGAGUAUGCAGCGCUUCAGAAAAAGCACCAAUGUCAGAUGAAGGAAAAGGACAGUGUUGAGAAUGAACUGAAGGGUUGCCGCGAGGAGAUCGAGCGGUUGAAAGGGGAGCUAAAUGUAAUGGAGGAAAAACAUAGGGUUGAGUCUGACGAGAUUAAGCAAAAAGAACAAUCUAGCCGUCUGGAAGCGCUCAAAGUUGAGGAUGGGUGUGCAGCACUUCAGAAAAAACACCAAAGUCAGCUGGAGGAACAAGUCAAGGUUGAGAAUGAGCUGAAGCAUUGCUGGCUGGAGAUCAACCGGUUGAAAGGAAAUGUAAAUAUUAUGGAGGAAAAGCACAAGAAUGAGUGUGAAGAGAUUGAGAAGAAACAUCAAUCUAAACUUCUGGAAAUGCUCAAAGUUAAGAAUGAGAUUAAGCGGUUGAAAGAAGAAGGAAAGGUUCUGGAGGAAAAAUAUAAGAACGAGUACAGGGAACUUGAGCAAACAAACGAAUCUUAUUAUCAGGAAAGGCUCAAGGCUGAGAUUGAGCUCAAGGUGUGCAAGUCUGAACUUGAUGAGUUGAAGGAAGAGAGAAAGGUCCUUAAGCAAAAACACCAAUGUCACCUUCUGGAAGUUGAGAAUGAGUUAAAGCACUGCAAGACCGAGCUUGUGACAUUAAAGGAGGAGCUAAAUAUCUCAAAUGAGAAAUGUGAGAAGCUUCUGGAGGAGGUGAUUAAGCAUGGGAAAGAUAAGGAUGAAGUGGUCAGUUCCCGAAAUGACAAGGAGGUGAAGAAUGAGCCUAUGUAUGUGAAAUUGGAGAAUGAAAUCAUGCGGUUAGAUAAGUUCAUAAAUGCAAAUCAUCUUGGAUCAAAAUACAUGGAUAAGAGAAGCAAAAAUAAUGGAAUGACAGAUGGUACUAGAAUAAAGAAGUGUAUCCAAGACCCCAAGCAUGUCAUAAAUGUGGAGGAUUUGUAUGAUUAUGUGCCAGCAAAUGCUUCCCCUAGAGGAUUUGGUGUUGGGAAUUCAGGUGCUCCUAAAUCUUCAUAUGAAGGUGUCAUUCUUCUCAGUGAUAGCGAAGAUGACUGUGCUCCUGGGGAACCAGAUUAUCUUGGACUCAAAAGAAAACGAGCUUCAUGGCCAAAUGCUAGUGAUAAUAACAAUGCUGGUCACAAUUUUGAACAAGAGAGUUCCCCAACUUCCGCAAAUAAGAAACAUAGGAUGCUGCAUCCCUGUGGCUCUCUGGUUUCUAACAAUGGGAAACAAUUUAAUCAAUCAAGUUGUGACCGAGAGAUCUUAAGACCAUCUGGAGAAAAAGUUAAGGAAGAGGUUGCCAGUUCUGUGAAGAAUUACGAUUCUGAAUCAAGUUCUUUAAGUUUGUUCAGUUCUGAUGGUUCUGAGGAUAAUGGUGACAUUAAUUCCAUGAUGCUAUAAACAAACAGAGCAUAAGAGGGAAGCCUUUGCCGGUACCAUGGAUUUUUAAGCUGCUAAAUCGAACUGAAGGAAACAGUUGGUGUAUAAGCAUAAAACUUGCAUAUAUGGCUUCAUGGGAACUGCUUUGUUUAGAGCUCGGGGACCAAGGACACAGGGGAAAAGAUCUGUCAGUGGGUUGUAGCUUGAUGCAUGCCCUUUUGAAGAUGUUCUAAAGACCAGAUCCUGCUUUGCAAGUUCUCACAAUGAAAUACAAGCGUGCUGCUAUGCAAAACAAGUUUUGACCAUGGAGUAUAACGGGUAAUGAUAUUUUUGAAAUUUGCAAAGGCUGCAUUUUCCGAAGUCUGAACUGCUUGCAGAGUUUGUGAAUAGUUGAAUGUUUGACUGAUUCCUCCUAACUAAGCUAGUACAUUAAUAUGUCAACUGAUUCAACUGGUCAAAUUACUUCGUGGGAUGAAAGAUCAUGUUAUCCUUUG